rnacentral:rRNA from 1 species
AGAUUCAAACAAGCAAACUCGAGAGUGGUAGAGGUCACUGGAAUUUCUUGUGUAGGAGUGAAAUCCGUAGAUAUAAGAAGGAACACAGAUGGCGUAGGCAGGUGACUGGACCAUUUCUGACGAUAAGGCACGAAAGCGUGGGGAGCGAACCAG